rnacentral:rRNA from 1 species
UACGAAGGGGGGCUAGCGUUGUUCGGAAUCACUGGGCGUAAAGCGCACGUAGGCGGAUUUUUAAGUCAGGGGUGAAAUCCCGAGGCUCAACCUCGGAACUGCCUUUGAUACUGGAGAUCUUGAGUCCGGAAGAGGUAAGUGGAACUGCGAGUGUAGAGGUGAAAUUCGUAGAUAUUCGCAAGAACACCAGUGGCGAAGGCGGCUCACUGGCCCGGUACUGACGCUGAGGUGCGAAAGCGUGGGGAGCAAACAGG